UGCAUAUUCAAUCCGUCACUCAUACCCUAAACUCUAAGACCCAGAAAUCAAUCAGAUCUGUCCGUCUCUUGCGUUGUGGCCUACAUCUUGUCUUGUGCUUUUGAGUGGGCUUCUCACUCCCCCAGAAACUUCACUUUUCCCUUCAUCAGAUGGAAGUGAAUCUCAACCAACCUUAGCUGCUGCAAGAAGCAGUGCUUUAUAUAGAUCAACUUCCUCAGCCAAGCCUUCAAGGUUUGAUGUUUGCAGUUACAUACUGUUGGCUUAAUUCAUACUCUUGUUGUUUAAAAUCACAGUGCUGUUGCGUGGUGCGGGAAGCUGAAUGCCAUAGCUUGUGCCUCAGAAACUUGUGCAAGAAUACCA